rnacentral:rRNA from 1 species
UACGGGGGGGGCAAGCGUUGUUCGGAAUUACUGGGCGUAAAGGGCUCGUAGGCGGCCAACUAGGUCAGACGUGAAAUCCCUCGGCUUAACCGGGGAACUGCGUCUGAUACUGGAUGGCUUGAGUUCGGGAGAGGGAUGCGGAAUUCCAGGUGUAGCGGUGAAAUGCGUAGAUAUCUGGAGGAACACCGGUGGCGAAGGCGGCAUCCUGGACCGACACUGACGCUGAGGAGCGAAAGCGUGGGGAGCGAACAGG